GAACGAGAAAGUGGAGCAAUCCAUGAGUAAAGUGGCGACCGGGUGAGUAACACGUGACUACCUACCCUCGAGUGGGGAAUAACUCCGGGAAACCGGGGCUAAUACCGCAUAACAUCGAGAGAUCAAAGCAGCAAUGCGCUUGAGGAGGGGGUCGCGCCUGAUUAGCUAGUUGGUGGGGUAACGGCCCACCAAGGCGAAGAUCGGUAGCCGGCCUGAGAGGGCGCACGGCCACACUGGAACUGAAACACGGUCCAGACUCCUACGGGAGGCAGCAGUGGGGAAUUUUGCGCAAUGGGGGAAACCCUGACGCAGCAACGCCGCGUGGAGGAUGAAGGUCUUCGGAUCGUAAACUGCUUUUCUGGGGGACGAGAAUCGGACGGUACCCCAGGAAGAAGCCCCGGCUAACUACGUG
rnacentral:rRNA from 1 species